rnacentral:rRNA from 1 species
GACGAACGCUGGCGGCGUGCUUAACACAUGCAAGUCGAACGGAAAGGCCCUGCUUUUGUGGGGUACUCGAGUGGCGUACGGGUGAGUAACACGUGAGUAACCUGCCCUUGACUUUGGGAUAACUUCAGGAAACUGGGGCUAAUACCGGAUAGGAGCUCCUGCUGCAUGGUGGGGGUUGGAAAGUUUCGGCGGUUGGGGAUGGACUCGCGGCUUAUCAGCUUGUUGGUGGGGUAGUGGCUUACCAAGGCUUUGACGGGUAGCCGGCCUGAGAGGGUGACCGGCCACAUUGGGACUGAGAUACGGCCCAGACUCCUACGGGAGGCAGCAGUGGGGAAUAUUGCACAAUGGGCGGAAGCCUGAUGCAGCAACGCCGCGUGCGGGAUGACGGCCUUCGGGUUGUAAACCGCUUUCGCCUGUGACGAAGCGUGAGUGACGGUAAUGGGUAAAGAAGCACCGGCUAACUACGUG